UUAACUGAGAUUUGUAUGGAAUCGGAACGUUUCCUACGUUUGCCGCUAGGGGCGCUGUUCCAACUGCAUACAAAUUUGAGUUA
rfam:Bombyx mori DNA, contig: Bm_scaf363_contig42806, strain: p50T/Dazao, build 2, whole genome shotgun sequence.